ACCAUAUUAUAAUUAGCACUUUUAUAAUUAUUGCAUAAAUUUACAAAACUGUAUAUUUCUGGAAUAUUUGCUUAGCAGUAAUUUAACGUACUUGCAUUUCUCUCUACUGCAUAAUUGCUGUAUGUACAUAUAUGUAUAUCAAUUAUGUGGAUUUCGUGUGUGUAAGAAUAUAGUCUUCAAACUGAAGUCUGAAGUCAGAAUGCACAGAAGGAAUAAGGAUUUGGCUAACUCUUCCGUGGUGUUGUCGACCAAGUUGUAUUUUCAAAGUUGACUUUGACUUCGACUUUGUUUACACGAUAACAUUGUACCAUAAAUCAGAUCCACUAUUAAUGUCCGAAAUGUCAAAAAUGGCGGUCACAAAUCAAUUUAAUUAAAUCCACGCCCAGCGAACCAGAGAAACCGACGACCGCGUGGAGCUGGACGGGCAUGAAUGUUGAGAGUAAAUAUGAAGGUCCCGGGUCCACCUAUAGAACAGCGACCGCGAACCAAACCACAAACGGAAAACAGAACACAAACAAGGCCAUCGGAAAUCACACGCGAAAUUGAAAUCCACAUUCAAAUAUACGCAGCACACGAACCGGCUUGAAUUGAUUAACAACCAGUUUCUUUUUUUCUUUUUUUUUUGGUUUUGGUUUUGAAUUGGUUUUAUUUUUGUUUUCUUUUUUUUUUAACUUGAUUUUAAUUUUUCACAAUUGGAACCACUCUCCGUUUGAGCGGCCUGUUCAGACAAUGGCAGCCAUGGGCUUCGCCUUCUACAGUCUGACUGUCGCAUACGACACCUCGAGAAAAGUGGAAGCCUCGACCUCGAUUUGGCUAUCGAGCAUUCUUUGGCCAUUGUCUGCUCCUUGAAGCCCGGCUGCCUGAGCAGAUAUCAAUUGCCGGAUGAUGAAUGAAGCAGGACGUCUGGUUAACGCGGCGUCGACCUGAGAGCAAAGUGUCCAAAAAAUAAUAUUUGCUGUUCAGUUUGACAGUUCAGUCAGUGGCUGCCGAGACCGAUGUCGCGGCGAAGGCUGUGGAAGCGCAGUCGGCGCGGCGCACGAAGUGGCGUCGAGACAAGAACGAAGCAAAAAGCAACAUAAACGCAAAUUGAGAGUGAGAACGGGAAGGCAGAGCCGGCAGUAACAGUAACAGCAACAGCAACAGCCACAGCAAAAGCCAAAGCCACAGCAACAGCCAGAGCAAUCAGAUACAGACAGCGAACGGACGCGUUCCGCGCAGGGGAAAAGGUAUUGCUUGGCGGUGGUUGAGAGACAGAAUGAAUGUCUCACAUGCCUUGGCCAGUGCUGCCUCGUGCAAGCUGGUGUGGUUGUUUGUGCCUAUGUGAGUUUUGGAUGUGGAUGACUAUACCGAUGACAGCGUCGAGUCGCUUAGUUAGACGAAAAAAAAAGGUCAUAAACCCAAAGCAGAAGCAGCGGCCGCAACACUUACGCUUACCAGAACGCCAAAGGACCGAGAUAGAGUACGAAAACGAAAUGAAAAUAGGAAUGAGAAUAAACAAGAGCUGGGAGCUGCGAGCUGAGAACUGCGAACUGCGAGUUGAGAGCUGAGAGCAACCACAUGGCAGCACCAUUGCUGAGUAGCGAUGAAAAGAUGAAAAGCCAGAGGAGCAGCAGUUGAAGCAAAAAGGCGCAGCGAUGGGCAAUAAAACGCGUAAGCAGCUGCCCUCUCCUUCUGGUGCGCGCUUUGUGCGCUCUCGUGCUCUCUCCCUCGCACGCGCACACAUAGAGACAACAAAACAACCACCGAAGCACUCUCACGAAGCGACAGACUCCAAUACAGGCACAUGUCCAAUCAUUUUAUAUACGCCAUUUGCUGUCUGCUGUAGAUACAUUUGUAUCUUUAUGUGCCAAACAAGUCAACGACGCGCACGACGUUCAACACAGAGAUCUGUAUAUACUUGACACUUGUGCAUGUGUGAUUGUGUGUAUAUAUUCUAUACUGAUAUUGACGCUGACGGCAUCGACAUCGACAUCGACAUCGACAUUGGCAUCAACGACGAGUCAAUUUUGAAUUACAAUUUCGCAUCAGUGGUUGUUGUCGUUUCUCUUACUGCAAAAA